rnacentral:rRNA from 1 species
CUGGUUGAUCCUGCCAGAGGUUACUGCUAUCGAGGUUCGACUAAGCCAUGCGAGUCGAAUGUAGCAAUACAUGGCGUACUGCUCAGUAACACGUGGAUAACCUACCCUUGAGUCGGGGAUAAACCCGGGAAACUGGGUAUAAUACCCGAUAGAUCUCGACUGCUGGAAUGCAUCGAGCUCUAAAGCUCCGGCGCUCAAGGAUGGAUCUGCGGCCUAUCAGGUAGUAGUGGGUGUAGCGUACCUACUAGCCUACGACGGGUACGGGUUGUGAGAGCAAGAGCCCGGAGAUGGAUUCUGAGACACGAAUCCAGGCCCUACGGGGUGCAGCAGGCGCGAAAACUUUACAAUGCUGGAAACAGCGAUAAGGGGACCUCGAGUGCCAGGUUACAAAUCUGGCUGUCGUGAUGCCUAAAAAGCAUUGCAUAGCAAGGGCCGGGCAAGACCGGUGCCAGCCGCCGCGGUAACACCGGCGGCUCGAGUGGUAACCGUUAUUAUUGGGUCUAAAGGGUCUGUAGCCGGCCGGAUAAGUCUCUUGGGAAAUCUGGCAGCUUAACUGUCAGGCUUUCAGGAGAUACUGUCUGGCUCGAGGCCGGGAGAGGUGAGAGGUACUUCAGGGGUAGGGGUGAAAUCUUGUAAUCCUUGAAGGACCACCAGUGGCGAAGGCGUCUCACCAGAACGGACCUGACGGCAAGGGACGAAAGCUAGGGGCACGAACCGGAUUAGAUACCCGGGUAGUCCCAGCUGUAAACGAUGCUCGCUAGGUGUCAGGUGCGGUGCGACCGCAUCUGGUGCCGCAGUGAAAACUUGAAGCGAGUCACCUGGGAAGUACGGUCGCAAGGCUGAAACUUAAAGGAAUUGGCGGGGGAGCACUACAACGGGUGGAGCCUGCGGUUCAAUUGGAUUCAACGCCGGG